AAUCAACGCUGGCGGCGUGCCUCAGACAUGCAAGUCGAACGCGAAAUCUCCCUUCGGGGAGAAAGUAGAGUGGCGCACGGGUGAGUAACACGUGGGUAAUUUACCUUUGGGUGGGGAAUAACAGUCGGAAACGACUGCUAAUACCGCAUGAUGCAGCGGCACCACAUGGUGACAGUUGUUAAAGCGGGGGAUCGCAAGACCUCGCGCCUGAAGAGAAGCCCGCGGCAGAUAGCUAGUUGGUAAGGUAAUGGCUUACCAAGGCAACGAUCUGUAGCCGGCCUGAGAGGGCGGUCGGCCACACUGACACUGAAUAACGGGUCAGACUCCUACGGGAGGCAGCAGUCGGGAAUUUUGGGCAAUGGGCGCAAGCCUCGACCCAGCAACGCCGCGUGAAGGAUGAAGUAUUUCGGUAUGUAAACUUCACAAGAAUAGGGAAGAAGUAAGUAGGGGACAAUACCCCUAUGAUGACGGUACC
rnacentral:rRNA from 1 species